rnacentral:tRNA from 1 species
GGGAACGAAGUGUCAAGGUGACACCUUGGACUGCGAAUCUAUAGGUACCUUUAUGGUAUGGGGUUCGAGUCCCCCGUUCUCC